CCCUUGUCCCUAGUUGCUACSCAUGAGCACUCUAGGGAGACUGCCGGUGACAAACCGGAGGAAGGUGGGGAUGACGUCAAGUCCUCAUGGCCCUUAUGGKUAGGGCUUCACACGUCAUACAAUGGUCGGAACAGAGGGUUGCCAAGCCGCGAGGUGGAGCCAAUCCCAGAAAACCGAUCGUAGUCCGGAUCGCAGUCUGCAACUCGACUGCGUGAAGCUGGAAUCGCUAGUAAUCGCGGAUCAGCAUGCCGCGGUGAAUACGUUCCCGGGUCUU
rnacentral:rRNA from 1 species